rnacentral:rRNA from 1 species
AGUGAACGCUGGCGGCAGGCCUAACACAUGCAAGUCGAACGGCAGCACAGUAAGCGCUUGCUCCUACGGGUGGCGAGUGGCGGACGGGUGAGGAAUACAUCGGAAUCUACUUUUUCGUGGGGGAUAACGUAGGGAAACUUACGCUAAUACCGCAUACGACCUACGGGUGAAAGCAGGGGAUCUUCGGACCUUGCGCGAUUGAAUGAGCCGAUGUCGGAUUAGCUAGUUGGCGGGGUAACGGCCCACCAAGGCGACGAUCCGUAGCUGGUCUGAGAGGAUGAUCAGCCACACUGGAACUGAGACACGGUCCAGACUCCUACGGGAGGCAGCAGUGGGGAAUCUUGCGCAAUGGGCGCAAGCCUGAUCCAGCCAUACCGCGUGGGUGAAGAAGGCCUUCGGAUUGUAAAGCCCUUUUGUUAGGAAAGAAAAGCAGCAGGUUAAUACCCCGCUGUUCUGACGGUACCCAAAGAAUAAGCCCCGGCUAACUUCGUG